AAUAAAUCAAAAGAAGGAAUUAAGCUGGUCAUUUUCUAAAUAUAGAAAAAGAAAGUUAAAGCACAAAUUUUAAAGCAUAAUUCAUAAAACUCUUGAAGUAAGUGCAUCAUAGGUACACCAAACUAGCCUGUUGAGCUUUUUACCAAAAUACAAAAUAUUGACAAUACAAUACAUGCACACAAAUCAAGCAUAAUAUUUAGUAAAAUGUAAGCAGUAUUGAACGAGACAAAAUUUGAACAUAGAAAAUAACAAGCAGUGAUAGAACACAAACAUAUGAAAACUAAUAAUAGCUGAGCAUUCAAAGAUAGUGCACACAGAUAAGGAAACCAAUUAUGGAUGUAGAGCAUGAUCCUUCAAGACCUACAGGAAACUAACAGUUUGGCCAAAUUUUCAUAAAAUAAUUGUCAAUGGGGGAUAGAAAAAAAUGUUUUUUGAGAAUUAAAAACCCCAAUUUUUUUAUUUUUUCAUUUUCAUUGCAUCCCUUGUUUUGUGGAUUUCUGUAUAUGGUUAAAUACAAAUUUUAUGUUUUAACAAAAUAAAAG
rnacentral:lncRNA from 1 species